AUUGAACGCUGGCGGCAGGCCUAACACAUGCAAGUCGGGCGGUAACACAGGGAGCUUGCUCCUGGGUGACGAGCGGCGGACGGGUGAGUAAUGUCUGGGAACCUGCCUGAUGGAGGGGGAUAACUACUGGAAACGGUAGCUAAUACCGCAUAACGUCGCAAGACCAAAGAGGGGGACCUUCGGGCCUCUUGCCAUCAGAUGUGCCCAGAUGGGAUUAGCUAGUAGGUGGGGUAAUGGCUCACCUAGGCGACGAUCCCUAGCUGGUCUGAGAGGAUGACCAGCCACACUGGAACUGAGACACGGUCCAGACUCCUACGGGAGGCAGCAGUGGGGAAUAUUGCACAAUGGGCGCAAGCCUGAUGCAGCCAUGCCGCGUGUAUGAAGAAGGCCUUCGGGUUGUAAAGUACUUUCAGCGAGGAGGAAGGCGAUAAGGUUAAUAACCUUGUCGAUUGACGUUACUCGCAGAAGAAGCACCGGCUAACUCCGUGCCAGCAGCCGCGGUAAUACGGAGGGUGCAAGCGUUAAUCGGAAUUACUGGGCGUAAAGCGCACGCAGGCGGUCUGUCAAGUCGGAUGUGAAAUCCCCGGGCUCAACCUGGGAACUGCAUUCGAAACUGGCAGGCUAGAGUCUUGUAGAGGGGGGUAGAAUUCCAGGUGUAGCGGUGAAAUGCGUAGAGAUCUGGAGGAAUACCGGUGGCGAAGGCGGCCCCCUGGACAAAGACUGACGCUCAGGUGCGAAAGCGUGGGGAGCAAACAGGAUUAGAUACCCUGGUAGUCCACGCCGUAAACGAUGUCGACUUGGAGGCUGUUCCCUUGAGGAGUGGCUUCCGGAGCUAACGCGUUAAGUCGACCGCCUGGGGAGUACGGCCGCAAGGUUAAAACUCAAAUGAAUUGACGGGGGCCCGCACAAGCGGUGGAGCAUGUGGUUUAAUUCGAUGCAACGCGAAGAACCUUACCUACUCUUGACAUCCACGGAACUUAGCAGAGAUGCUUUGGUGCCUUCGGGAACCGUGAGACAGGUGCUGCAUGGCUGUCGUCAGCUCGUGUUGUGAAAUGUUGGGUUAAGUCCCGCAACGAGCGCAACCCUUAUCCUUUGUUGCCAGCGGUCCGGCCGGGAACUCAAAGGAGACUGCCAGUGAUAAACUGGAGGAAGGUGGGGAUGACGUCAAGUCAUCAUGGCCCUUACGAGUAGGGCUACACACGUGCUACAAUGGCGCAUACAAAGAGAAGCGACCUCGCGAGAGCAAGCGGACCUCAUAAAGUGCGUCGUAGUCCGGAUUGGAGUCUGCAACUCGACUCCAUGAAGUCGGAAUCGCUAGUAAUCGUAGAUCAGAAUGCUACGGUGAAUACGUUCCCGGGCCU
rnacentral:rRNA from 1 species